AUUGAACGCUGGCGGCAGGCCUAACACAUGCAAGUCGAACGGUAACAGGAAGACGCUUGCUUCUUUGCUGACGAGUGGCGGACGGGUGAGUAAUGUCUGGGAAACUGCCUGAUGGAGGGGGAUAACUACUGGAAACGGUAGCUAAUACCGCAUAACGUCGCAAGACCAAAGAGGGGGACCUUCGGGCCUCUUGCCAUCGGAUGUGCCCAGAUGGGAUUAGCUAGUAGGUGGGGUAACGGCUCACCUAGGCGACGAGCCCUAGCUGGUCUGAGAGGAUGACCAGCCACACUGGAACUGAGACACGGUCCAGACUCCUACGGGAGGCAGCAGUGGGGAAUAUUGCACAAUGGGCGCAAGCCUGAUGCAGCCAUGCCGCGUGUAUGAAGAAGGCCUUCGGGUUGUAAAGUACUUUCAGCGGGGAGGAAGGGAGUAAAGUUAAUACCUUUGCUCAUUGACGUUACCCGCAGAAGAAGCACCGGCUAACUCCGUG
rnacentral:rRNA from 1 species